UGUUAGGAGCCCUGAUCCAGAGCUUCCUCUGAGGCCUCCCAGCAAGAGUGGAUGCUUCCACCAUUGCCGCUUCAAAGCCUCUUCAUGGGUGCGGCUCAAACUUUCACCUUGAGGGCAUCUAGAGCAGGAGUUGGCAAAAACGGUCAUGUAGACUCAGAUGAUUUGGUCCCAGAACAGAAGAACCAGAGCAGGAUACGUCAACCCCAUCAAAGUCAGGAGGAAUGGGCCAGAGUGGAGAAGGCGGACAUGUUGACCACAGUCUCUGCUGUUGUCUCUCCCAACACCUCCGAGGCCCCCUCGUCUGCUAUGCAGGUCUCCUCGCCCGCAAAGCUGGGCCCUUUAUGGGUCUCUGCGUCUCCACAUCUCGAAAGUCUGUAAUGCCAGUCUCCUCUUUGUUUCCACGCCUGAGACGCGGGUCCCCUCUCCCAUCUCCUCUCCUGCUAAGCUCCCACUGCCAGUCUUCUCUCCCUCGACACCCCCAAGAUCUGAGGCACAGGUCUCCCCUCGGAUCCUCACGCUCCCCAUGCUCGCAUCUCGUCUCCACACCUGUCAUGCAGGUCUCCUUGCCGACCAGUCUCUUCCCUGGACUCCACGCCUAAGAUGCGUGUCUCCUCUCGCAUCUCCUCACCCGCCAAGCCCUCACUGUCAGUCUUCCGGCCCCUCUCCAUGCCCACAACGCCUGCAACGCUGGCGAUCUCCCCUACAACGCCCACGACGCAAGUCCCCUCCCGGGUCUCCACGCAAGUGUCACGGGUCUCCUCACCUUCAAUGCCCACGACUCCUGGGACGCAUGUCUCCAAGCCAAUCUCCACUCCCCGCACGCCAGUCUCCGCACCUGCAACACCCGAGACACGGUCUCCUUUUGGAUCUCCACGCUUCAGAUGCCCGCAUCUCCGGUCUCCACGCCUGGAACGCAGCUCUCCUCGGCCAUCUCCCCACCCCAGACCGCUGCAACGUCCGGGACGCGGGUCUCCCCACCGGUCUCCACGCCCCCCAUGCCCUCGACACCCUCGUCUGGCAUCUUUUCGCUCAUCUCUAUGCCUCCGAUACCAGUCUCCUCCCUCGACUCCACGCCACCAACACCCCAAGGCUGCUCUCCGCUCCUGUCUCCUCACCUCGCUGGUCAAACCCCACUGCCAAUCUCCUCGCCCCUCUCCACGCCCCCGACGUCUGUGACGCCAGUCUCCACGCCCCGGAUGUUGGUGAUGCCCCGGACAGAGACUUCCUCUCCAGUCUCCAUGCGUAAGCCCCUGUCGCCAGUCUCAUCGCCCGUCUCCACGUGCACAAGACCUGUCUCGUCGCCUACAACGCCCGUGACACCCACAGUGCAAGUCUUCUCAGCUGCCAAGUGCCCUCUCCUGCAACGGUGGCGACGCUUGACUCCGUACUGGUCUCCACGCCCGUUGCGCUCCAGCUGCGGGUGUCCUCGCCAGUGUCGGUGCCCUGGCAUCCGCGCUCCUGCCCUUGCAAGUCUCCUCUCCUGAAACGCGUGCAACUCAUGAGUCUUAUCUCCCAGCCCCCCCGAGGUCACUUCCCAUCUGUUCACUGGUCCCAACUCCCUCUUGGCCCACAAGGCUGGUCUCCUCGCGCAGACACACCAAUUCCAGGGAAAUCUUUCUUUGACCUCAGGAACCUAGAUCUUGUUCAGAGGUGGAAACUUGUUUAAUUGGAAUUUGGCACCAUUUGAGUUCUGCCUUGUCUGUUCCGACCUGGGAAUUUGGUUCUUCUCCGUCUCAGCAAUGAUCUUCCAGCUUCUCACUAUGGAUCAGUAAUCUUUCCCCCUCGAUAGCGCAGAUGGAAGGUUUGCUCUCUGCCCUCAGGCCCUCUCCAAACGCCAGCAAUUGAAUGGAUCCCUAUUCACCCGCUGUCUUGAUGCACCCACCCCCCCCACACACACACACAGAUGCACGCGCACACGCAGGCACACACGCGCGCGCGCAAAGCUCUGCCAUCUACAAGCCCAGGAAUCCCAUCACCCAUCAAGUGCACUAGACCUCAUGGACCCGUGGGAUCAGAGCUCCAGCUAUGAAUAGUCCAGAGAGAAAAGUUUGCCCCCUUCUGGUCACUCCCCUCUUUUUGUCUGCUGCGCCCCCGUGAGUGUAUAUGCUACGUCACUGCUUCCACUGUCUUCAAACAGGGCAAGCAAGAAGGUCUCGAGCCUGUUUGUCCACAGUUUGUGCUUAUUCACAGAGCCUUGCCUGCAGGACCUCUCUCGCAGAGAAGGUCCCAUGACUGAACUUGGUGAACGUGGUGGAAUAUUUCAUAUGUUGUCUAUAACUGUGAGCUGGUAACAGAUGCGCGUGCCUAGGUUUAGCGCUGCAAUGCAUUCAGUUGGAGGUAUGUCACCCGUCCACCAGACCCUCUAUGGAAUCCCAGAAUGCAGUUCUGCACAGUGCAUGUUAGGGCAUCAGUAAGACACCCAGCUGCCCAGGAGCUGAAGUGGGGUCUCUGCCACCCACUUAGGGCAUCUCCCCUCAUUGUUUGCUCCCCAGACAAAUGCCCACCUGUUUAGCUGCCAUCUCACUGGAGCUUAUUCCAUCUACAUUACUUUUUCUUUUUCUCUCUCAUCCCCUGCCUCUCUCUCAUUUUCUUGCCCACCACAGACCACUCUUCCAAUGUCCAAAAACCUUUAUUUCCCUUAUUUAUAUGAGCAACUUUGUUUAUUUGAGUCCUCCUUUCCUAGGACAUUUUCACGGGAGCAUAUGUUUUUAAUGUACAUAAAUAAGAUUGUAUUUUAAAUUUCAUUCUGUUUAUUUUUUGCACACCACUAUUUAUAAAACUGUGUGACACUGAGUGUAUUUAUCCCAUUGCUUCUCAUUGCUGCAUCGUAUUCCUUGGUGUGCAUCUCCACAUGUUGCUGGCAUCUUCCUUCAGUAAUGCCCUUAGGCUGCCUCCCACUCCCAUGACUGUGAAGGAUUCUGUGACAACCCCCUCAACUGUCAUCUCGUUGACCAGGAUGAGAGUUUCUUCCUCGAUUCAUUCCCAGGAUCCUGGCUACUUGGUCAUGUUUUAAACGUAUAAAACAUUUAAUCUCCAUCAUGGAUACCCCAGUCUACACUCUGACCUUUAGCCCUGACCCCUGUCAACCCACACCAUUUACCAGCUUUUUAUCAUUUCACCUUUCUGAAGGGCAUACAGAGAAAGCCUUUCCUUCAUGUUUUUCAAAAUAUCCUGUUCUUCCACAUAAAUUUUAGAAUAGUUGAGAAUUUAUUCCAUAUUAUUCUUUUGGGAUAUAAUUGACGUAUUACAUUGCAUUUAUAUUAUUUGCUUAUAUGAUUUGGGGGCAAAACUUUAUCAAGUCCACACACAGACACAAAGGGCAGGUAGCAUUCAGAUCAGCAUUGUUUAGGGUUGACAAGUGAAUUUGGACGAAUCAGCUUCUUGUUAAACUUUCCCAUUCGUAGGCAAGUUAUAUCUCCCCAUAUGUUCAGAUAUUUAAUGCCCCCCAAUAAAAGUUUACCAUUUUAUGCAGAAUGACCUUGACGAUUAUUUGUAGAUUUGUCCUUCAAUUACCCAGUCUUUGUUUUUAUUCUGAGAGGGCUCUUUUGAAAAGAAAUCAUUUUUUUUCUGUAAGAAGUUGUUGCUGGUGAAUAGGUCUCUUUUGAGUUGUGGGAGGUGAUCUCUUGUCCAGCAGCAGCCUUGGUGAAAUCUGUAACAUUUCUGAUUGUUUGCAGAUUUUCCUGGUUUUUUAAUGUAGGCAGAUAUCCUGGGCAAAUAAUUAUAAUUUGUAUCUUUUUCACCAAGUUUCCUUUAUCCCGCUUUUUCUUGACCCACUGGGCUGGUUAUGACCUUAGAUAUAAAGCUGAAUAUGUGCAAGAAUGGUGGAAAUCUGCAUCUUGCCUGUCAUU
ensembl:lncRNA